UCAAAAUUAGGGCCUGGGGCUGCCUCUUUGA
rnacentral:piRNA from 1 species